UGUUAGUUGUAGCAGUAUUAAUGUCCAAUAGGGGAGGCAAUUUCACUUUCAAAGCAAUGCUUGUUAUUAAAGUGUCUGCCCACUUCUUCUUCCAUGGUCCAGAAUGGCCCGUGGGAAAACUGCAUGACAUUAAAACAUUGUUUUUUAGCUCUAUGGUUAUGAAAACCCACAGAAACAUAACUUUGAUUAUUUUGAUUGGGUGUUUUUUGUUGUUGUUGUUGUUGUUGUUGUUUGUUUUAAAUCAGAUAGUUUAAUCUGUCCAUCUAACUGUCACUGCUACAAAAAGAGACACAUCUGUACAGUCCAGUAAAUCCUCUCAAUUCAAUUAGGAUUUCUCAGUUCUCUUCCAUUUUCUUUUACAUCAUUAAUUUCAUACAGCACAUUUUGUAUCUUUACAAUGCCUCAUCACAUGCCUACAUCCUGGGGAGACCUGGUAACCUCCAGUCCUCCAUCCUACCUACCCACACAAGCGCAUACACACCUCCUCGACCUCACACUUCCUCUUCAAGCCUCUUUCAGUUCCACUCACUUACACCCCCCCCCCCCCCCCCCCACCUCUUUCUUUAUAAAAGCGCCAGUGCUUGCUAAUCUGUCAAUCAGAUGUUGUCCUGUUGUGGCGAUGAUGGGGGUCCGUGACGGUGUUCCACACACCUCCUGCAGCUCGCAGCUCGGCGAGUAGCUCGAUGAUUAACCAGGCAGGUACUGAGUCAAACUGCUGACAGCAUAAACACACUGACAGCUGAUUUGAAAGACAAUGCUCCCACUCCCUCCACUUAACUUGUCAUGGCAGUCAAAGCACCUUCUCACUAAACUUGUGGCAUAUUAGGCAAAGAUGGAGGGAAACACUGAUUUAUAGCAUCACACUCAUAAAUGGUCACACAUAAACAAAACAAAAAAAGAAAUACUUAUAAGCAUUUCCAAAUAUUCAUAAGUGCUUAUGUUUGCACAAAAAAUCUGAUCAAUUAUUGAAAUUAUAAAGAACAACUAGUGAAUAGUUGAUAACUGUAAAAAGAAAAAUGCAGCUACCAGGGAAAGAUUUUCACAUUUCCUAUUUUAACUGUAUCUUCAAAAGUGAAGGCCAGAAACAGCAGCACAGCAUUUCCUUGUCUCUCCUGGAUUAAUAGUCCAACACUUCCCAAUUAUUAACCAUGUCUGUUUUGUACCAUUCAUAUUCAAAGCUAUUUGCCUCCCUACACUUCCUGUGCUUUGUAUUCUGAGUCUUUACAGGAGGGAAUGGACGAUCCAGGCAGAUCUGUCACUCAAACCGCAGCCCCCGACCACCAGUCGCUGCCCAACAAACUGUCGUCCAUAUACCUCCAUCGGCUCCGGUACCUCCUCGGCUCAAUGAGUAACUAACCUGCAGGGCACAAUGAGAGAGGCGAUCCAUCACUUCUGUCCCUAGCAGAGUGGGGGUCAGUGGGGGUGGAGGCCAUAAGGCUGGCUCUGGCUCUGGCUGGCUGAUGGAGGGUUGUGGGGAACAGGAUGGGCCUGGUUAAACUUUAACCAGCUCUCAUCCUACACGCUGAAGACUGCAUUAAGACACCAUUCUCUCCUGUGGGAGACUCUGAUGUUUCGUCAGCCUGGGAUCCAUGACCCCCCGCCCACUGGGACCCCAUCUCGCCCACUCAUGGCCUGGCGCCCACCUGCUUCCAUAUGGAUCACCAAACUUUUGGCCAAAGUGUGGGAAGUAAAGAAGAAACAUGGCUCUGGGGUCCCGUCUUGAUGUAUAUAGAGCAAUUGGCUAUAUUAACCUAGCCCUCUGCACGCGCCAUACAGCCCUCUGAUAUACUAACCAUGACUUCAUAUUCAAAACAGUGUUGCCUCCUUGGCUGUGGCACUGUCACAACCAGUGUCAACACAUUUUCACAGUGGAUCAAUAGCAGUAGUCAGGGGUUAGUCCUGCGGACACCGUGGUUACACUAUGAAAAAUGAUGGGUGGCCUUUUGAUAGUCAUUUAAUACACAGUUGCACACUUUGAUGGAGUUUGGCAAAAGCUUCUCCCUGGCGAGUUAACAAUGCGUACUGAAAAUCAUAUUUCCAUGGCGGCCCAUUCAAUCUUAUCCCCCUGUUCCAGGAAAAAUUGCAGUGACAAAUGGGAUGUGAGCGCACUCUGGGUGGCUGUGGGUCACAUCAGGUGCAGAGCAGGUUGGAGGUGUUAUAACCCAAUGUGUUCCUGUUCACUGGUCCAAUCAUCUUCAUUGAUUGAGCCAAUGAUUGAAAGGGUCCUACCCUUAUUUUAUGAACAGGAGGAGUUGAAGGUUGAAGUGGAUAAAGCAUGAAGGAAAAUGGUGACUACAGAAUACAGGAGUAUAAUCUCCUCACUUACUGUUUUAGGCGUUUGCC
ensembl:lncRNA